GAUGAACGCUAGCGGGAGGCCUAACACAUGCAAGUCGAACGGGAUUGGGAGCUUGCUCCCAUGAGAGUGGCGCACGGGUGAGUAACGCGUAUGCAACCUACCUUUAACUGAGGGAUAGCCCAUAGAAAUGUGGAUUAAUACCUCAUAGUUCUUUUGGCCCGCAUGGGUCGAUAGAUUAAGCUCCGGCGGUUAAAGAUGGGCAUGCGUGACAUUAGCUAGUUGGUAAGGUAAUGGCUUACCAAGGCUACGAUGUCUAGGGGUUCUGAGAGGAUGAUCCCCCACACUGGUACUGAGACACGGACCAGACUCCUACGGGAGGCAGCAGUGAGGAAUAUUGGUCAAUGGGCGCAAGCCUGAACCAGCCAUCCCGCGUGAAGGAUGAAGGCCCUAUGGGUCGUAAACUUCUUUUAUACACCAAGAAAAACUCCCACGUGUGGGAGCCCGACGGUAGUGUAUGAAUAAGCAUCGGCUAACUCCGUGCCAGCAGCCGCCGUAACAC
rnacentral:rRNA from 1 species